GUGCCAGCAGCCGCGGUAAUACAUAGGGGUCAAGCGUUGUCCGGAUUUAUUGGGCGUAAAGAGCUCGUAGGCGGUUCAACAAGUCGGUCGUAAAAGUUUAGGGCUCAACCCUAAAAUGUCGAUCGAUACUGUUGUGACUAGGAUACGGUAGAGGUGAGUGGAAUUCCUAGUGUAGAGGUGAAAUUCGUAGAUAUUAGGAAGAACAUCAGUGGCGGAGGCGACUCACUGGUCCGAUACUGACGCUGAGGUGCGAAAGCGUGGGGAGCAAACAGGAUUAGAUA
rnacentral:rRNA from 1 species